rnacentral:rRNA from 1 species
GGGUCAGUAGGUUGGUCGUGCCACCGGUACGUACUGGUCUCACUGAUUCCUCCUCCCUGAAGAACCGUAAUGCCAUUAAUUUGGUGUUGCGGGGAAACAGGACUGUUACUUUGGAAAAAUUAGAGUGUUUAAAGCAAGCUAACGCUUGAAUACAUUAGCAUGGAAUAAUGAAAUAGGACGAUCGAUCCUAUUUUGUUGGUUUCUAGGAUUGACGUA